AUUGGAUCCCUGAUACCCCUGAUAGCAUUCCUGCAAACGCGUCACACCGUGUCGGCGUUGGUGCUUUUGUUGUCAAUAACAAGAGAGAGGUGCUUGUGGUUCAGGAAACCAGUGGUAGAUUUGGAGGCACAGGUGUAUGGAAGAUGCCUACAGGAGCUGUGAAUGAAGGUGAAGAUAUUUGUGAUGCUGUAAUUAGAGAAGUGAAGGAAGAGACAGGGGUUGAAACAAAGGCACAUAUGGUACUUGUUGCAUUCUCAAGUUCGUUAAACAGUCAGGACAGCUGCUCCUUUGCAGGAACUGGCAUCCAAACAUGUGAUGGCAGCAAUGGUGGAGAUAAUUUGUCAGCAUCAAGCCUCUGAAGCAUCUGACAUACCUUAUAAUCCCAAAGCUGUUAGAAAACACUGAUGACUAAUACUAGGUCACAAGGCAUGGAAAAUGGUGCUGCUGUCACUUCCAACUUGACAGGAACACAGCAGGAUGUAGAUCUAUCACACUUCCUUCUAAUUGAGAAGAGUUCCCGGCAUGCUGAAUUGCAAUGAUGGGAUAUGGCUACUUACAUUGAGGCAAUUGAUUCCCAAUUCUUCUUGCUAAAAGGUAGCAUUUUGGACUUGUUAGUGAGUUCAACCGAAGUUUUGACCUGAAGUUUGCAUUCUGAGUCUGAUUCUCCUCCCUGUAACCUGUGGUUUAAGGUUCAACCUGAAGUCAUCGUAGUAAAUUCAAUCAAAGAUUUGAGCUGAAGUUAUCCUAUUAAGAAUUGCUUUGAAUCUCUAUUGUUUAUGAUACAUUCUAUAAUUAGGCUAUUAGGCUGUAUUUUAGUGAUUUGGUUUUGAUUAACUUAUUUAGAUUAUUGUAAAAUAAUUUUUUUAAUAGAAAUUUGUGUAACAAUUGUCAUAGAGUUUAA